UCUUCAGCACUUGAUUUCAGGGCUUUUGUUAUCUCAUCUUGUAUAUUACACAAAGACUCGAAUCUGGAUUUUAGUUCCUCUUUCAAGGAUGCUCCUUUCUCCAGCCAGAGACCCAGUGCCAGCGUCGUGGUCGGAGGAAGUCGGGGGAAGCAUUCUCUCCGAUUAUUCUUCUGUGUCAAACGUUACAGAACAUGUCAGAAAUAUGUAAAUUUUAUUUAAUCUGAGAAAGAAUCUUAAGUUUAAUUAACUUAUUAAAUGAAUUGAGAAAAAAAGGAAUGUGAAAA